AUUGAACGCUAGCGGCAGGCUUAACACAUGCAAGUCGAACGAGUGGCGGACGGGUGAGUAAUGUCUGGGAAACUGCCUGAUGGAGGGGGAUAACUACUGGAAACGGUAGCUAAUACCGCAUACCAUCGGAGGUGCCCAGAUGGGAUUAGCUAGUAGUUGGGGUAAAGGCUCACCUAGGCGACGAUCCCUAGCUGGUCUGAGAGGAUGACCAGCCACACUGCAACUGAGCCACGGUCCAGACUCCUACGGGAGGCCGCAUGGGGGAAUAUUGGACAAUGGGCGAAAGCCUGAUGCAGCCAUGCCGCGUGUAUGAAGAAGGCCUUCGGGUUGUAAAGUACUUUAAGCAGGGAGGCGUUAGCCGCAGAAGAAGCACCGGCUAACUACGUGCCAGCAGCCGCGGUAAUUC
rnacentral:rRNA from 1 species